GACGAACGCUGGCGGCGUGCUUAACACAUGCAAGUCGAACGGAAAGGCCCUGCUUUUGUGCGGUGCUCGAGUGGCGAACGGGUGAGUAACACGUGAGUAACCUGCCCUUGACUUUGGGAUAACUUCAGGAAACUGGGGCUAAUACCGGAUAGGAGCUCCUGCUGCAUGGUGGGGGUUGGAAAGUUUCGGCGGUUGGGGAUGGACUCGCGGCUUAUCAGCUUGUUGGUGGGGUAGUGGCUUACCAAGGCUUUGACGGGUAGCCGGCCUGAGAGGGUGACCGGCCGCAUUGGGACUGAGAUACGGCCCAGACUCCUACGGGAGGCAGCAGUGGGGAAUAUUGCACAAUGGGCGGAAGCCUGAUGCAGCAACGCCGCGUGCGGGAUGACGGCCUUCGGGUUGUAAACCGCUUUCGCCUGUGACGAAGCGUGAGUGACGGUAAUGGGUAAAGAAGCACCGGCUAACUACGUG
rnacentral:rRNA from 1 species